AUUGAACGCUGGCGGCAGGCCUAACACAUGCAAGUCGAGCGACCGGCGGACGGGUGAGGAAUGUAUGGGGACUGCCCGAUAGAGGGGGAUAACUACUGGAAACGGUAGCUAAUACCGCAUACUAUCGGAUAACCCAUAUGGGAUUAGCUAGUAGGUGAGGUAAUGGCUCACCUAGGCGACGAUCCCUAGCUGGUCUGAGAGGAUUAUCAGCCAGACUGUGAUGGGUAAACGGCCCCGACUCCUACGGAGGCGGCAGUGGGGAAUAUUGCACAAGGGACGCAAGGCUGAUGCAGCCAUGCCGCGUGUAGGAAGAAGGCCCUAGGGUUGGAAAGUACUUUCAGUCGGGAGGCGUUACCGACAGAAGAAGCACCGGCUAACUACGUGCCAGCAGCCGCGGUAAUUC
rnacentral:rRNA from 1 species